GCUGUACUAGACUGGUUCCCCCUCCUCCUACUCUUUAAUGUAGCUUUACUAGACUGAUUCUCCCUCCUCCUCUCUAAUGUAUCUAUACUAGACUGGAUCUCCCUCCUCUUUAAUGUAGCUGUAGUAGACUGGUGCUCCCUCCUCCUCCUCUCUAAUGUAGCUAUAGUAGACUGGUUCUCCCUCCUCCUCCUCUCUAAUGUGUCUAUACUAGACUGGUUUUCCCUCCUCCUCUCUAAUGUAUCUAUACUAGACUGGUUUUCCCUCCUCCUCCUCUAUUAUGUAGCUGUACUAGACUGGUUCUCCCUCCUCCUCCUCUCUAAUGUAGCUGUACUAGACUGGUUCUCCCUACUCCUCCUCUCUAAUGUAGCUAUACUAGACUGGUUCUCCCUCCUCCUCCUCUCUAAUGUAGCUAUACUAUACUGGUUCUCCGUCCUCCUCCUCUCUAAUGUAGCUAUACUAGACUGGUUCUCCAUCCUCCUCUCUAAUGGAGCUAUACUAGACUGCUUCUCUCUCCUCCUCUCUAAUAUAGCUGUACAUGACUGGUUCUCCAUCCUCCUCUCUAAUGUAUCUAUACUAUACUGGUUGUCCCUCCUCCUCCUCUCUAAUGUAUCUAUCAUAGACUGGUUCUCCCUCCUCCUCCUCUUUAAUGUAGCUGUACUAGACUGGUUCUCCCUCCUCCUCCUCCUCCUCUCUAAUGUAGCUAUACUAGACUGGUUCUCCCUCCUCCUCUCUAAUGUAUCUAUACUAGACUGCUUCUCCCUCCUCCUC
ensembl:lncRNA